GGGAGACAGCUUAGUGGUUGAGAGCACUGGCUGCUUUUCCAGAGGACCUGGGUUCAACUCCCAGCACCCA
rnacentral:tRNA from 1 species